rnacentral:rRNA from 1 species
AGUGAACGCUGGCGGUAGGCCUAACACAUGCAAGUCGAACGGCAGCACAGUAAGAGCUUGCUCUUACGGGUGGCGAGUGGCGGACGGGUGAGGAAUACAUCGGCAUCUACUUUUUCGUGGGGGAUAACGUAGGGAAACUUACGCUAAUACCGCAUACGACCUACGGGUGAAAGCAGGGGAUCUUCGGACCUUGCGCGAUUGAAUGAGCCGAUGUCGGAUUAGCUAGUUGGCGGGGUAAAGGCCCACCAAGGCGACGAUCCGUAGCUGGCCUGAGAGGAUGACCGCCCACACGGGAACUGAAACACGGUCCAGACUCCUACGGGAGGCAGCAGUGGGGAAUAUUGGACAAAGGGCGCAAGCCUGAUCCAGCCAUACCGCGUGGGUGAAGAAGGCCUUCGGGUUGUAAAGCCCUUUUGUUGGGAAAGAAAAGCAGCAGGUUAAUACCCCGCUGUUCUGACGGUACCCAAAGAAUAAGCACCGGCUAACUUCGUG